AUUGAACGCUGGCGGCAUGCCUUACACAUGCAAGUCGAACGGUAACAGGUCUUCGGAUGCUGACGAGUGGCGAACGGGUGAGUAAUACAUCGGAACGUGUCUAGUAGUGGGGGAUAACUACUCGAAAGAGUGGCUAAUACCGCAUGAGAUCUACGGAUGAAAGCAGGGGAUCGCAAGACCUUGUGCUACUAGAGCGGCCGAUGGCAGAUUAGGUAGUUGGUGGGAUAAAAGCUUACCAAGCCGACGAUCUGUAGCUGGGCUGAGUGGACGAUCAGCCACACUGGGACUGAGACACGGCCAAGACUCCUACGGGAGGCAGCAGUGGGGAAUUUUGGACAAUGGGCGAAAGCCUGAUCCAGCAAUGCCGCGUGCAGGAUGAAGGCCUUCGGGUUGUAAACUGCUUUUGUACGGAACGAAAAGCCCCGGGUUAAUACCCUGGGGUCAUGACGGUACCGUAAGAAUAAGCACCGGCUAACUACGUGCCAGCCGCCGCGGUAA
rnacentral:rRNA from 1 species